rnacentral:rRNA from 1 species
GACGAACGCUGGCGGCGUGCUUAACACAUGCAAGUCGAACGGAAAGGCCGUGCUUUUGUGGGGUGCUCGAGUGGCGAACGGGUGAGUAACACGUGAGUAACCUGCCCUUGACUUUGGGAUAACUUCAGGAAACUGGGGCUAAUACCGGAUAGGAGCUCCUGCUGCAUGGUGGGGGUUGGAAAGUUUCGGCUGUUGGGGGUGGACUCGCGGCUUAUCAGCUUGUGGGUGGGGUAGUGGCUUACCAAGGCUUGGGCGGGUAGCCGGCCUGAGAGUGUGACCGGGCCCAUAGGGCCUGAGGAAGGGGCCAGAGGGAUACGGGAGGCAGGGGUGGGAAUCUUUGCGAGAAACGCGGAAGGCGGAUAGAGGGAUGUCGGGUGCGGAAUCACGGCUUUAAGGGAAGAAACCGUUUUAGAGUGGAAAGUACACUGUGUGACGGUAACGGAUCAGAAAGCAACGGCUAACUACGUG